rfam:Zootermopsis nevadensis contig842, whole genome shotgun sequence.
GCCACGGUGGUCUAGUGGUUAGAACGCUGGCCUUGUAAUCCUGGGGUCUCGGGUUCGAUUCCCGGUGGUGCCC